rnacentral:rRNA from 1 species
UACGGAGGGAGCUAGCGUUGUUCGGAAUUACUGGGCGUAAAGCGCACGUAGGCGGCUUUGUAAGUUAGAGGUGAAAGCCCUGGGCUCAACCCAGGAAGUGCACUCGAUACUGCGAGGCUAGAGUAUCGGAGAGGUUGGUGGAAUUCUCGGUGUAGAGGUGAAAUUCGUAGAUAUCGAGAGGAACACCGGUGGCGAAGGCGGCCAACUGGACGAAUACUGACGCUGAGACUCGAAAGCGUGGGGAGCAAACAGG